AGAGUUUGACUCCGUGGCUCAGGACGAACGCUGGCGGCGUGCCUAACACAUGCAAGUCGAACGGAGCUGUUUUGGAUUUUCCUUCGGGGAAUGAAUUUACAGCUUAGUGGCGAACGGGUGAGUAACGCGUGAGCAACCUGCCUUUCAGAGGGGACAACAGUUGGAAACGACUGCUAAUACCGCAUGAUAUCAUAUGGGGGCAUCCUCGGAUGAUCAAAGAUUUUAUCGCUGAAAGAUGGGCUCGCGUCUGAUUAGCUAGUUGGUGGGGUAACGGCCUACCAAGGCUGCGAUCAGUAGCCGGACUGAGAGGUUGAUCGGCCACAUUGGGACUGAGAUACGGCCCAGACUCC
rnacentral:rRNA from 1 species